AACGUAGGUUCCGAGCGUUAUCCGGAUUUACUGGGCGUAAAGCGCGUUCAGGCGGUUUGGCAAGUCGGGCAUGAAAUCUCUCGGCUCAACCGGGAGAGGUUGUCCGAUACUGCUGGACUUGAGGGCAGUAGAGGGUGGUGGAAUUCCGGGUGUAGUGGUGAAAUGCGUAGAUAUCCGGAGGAACACCAGUGGCGAAGGCGACAUACUGGUUCGUUACUGACGCUGAGGCUCGAAAGCGUGGGGAGCAAACAGG
rnacentral:rRNA from 1 species